AGUUAGUAUAGCAUACAGAAGCCUCUAUGAUAAAGUUCCUGCCUGCUUCUGGACCCCUCUUCCACCAUCCUGUUGUUCUGCAAUUGGGGGUGUAGCAAUACCAUGCCAUUUCUCACAUCUCUGCUCUCCCUUCUUUCCCUUCUCUCCCUUCUCCUCCUCCUCCCCCUUCUCCUCUCCCCUGUCCCUCCAUAGAUGUGAUCCCCAUUUACUCGCAAAUAUUCAUUCCGGCUCUAUUUUCUAAAACCUGUAAACCUUUUGCAUAAGCAGAGUAGAAUGAUUAAAAUUUAUUCUAUCUGUGGGGACCUUCUUGUCUUCCUUCUUCAGGCUGAUUGACAGGUUCUGACAUAGCCUUAAAGAAGCUAGCUUGAAACCUGUCCUCUUCUGAACCGCUGGUUCCUUAGGCAGCCAUCUACCAUAGUACACGUGACUGUUGCUGUAUUGUUUUGCUAUUUUCAUGCAUUUAUCUCACCCCUCAACAUGAAACACCUUGAGUUCAGGGACAUUCUUUUAUUUAUUUAAGCUGCAGUGCCUGCUACGUGUAAGUAUUUUGGACAAAUGAAUGAACACCCUUAUUCAGUCCUCAUACUUUUUAAUGAGGGGGGUUACUUAGUAGUAAGUACAAAGCCCUGGGUUUAGCUCCUAGCACAGAAAAAAAAACAAAAAACAAAAAAAGAGGGACUUAUUAAAAUGAGAAAUUCAGUACCUACAUUUAUUAUAAAUGUAGAAAUCAGUUUGGAAAGGUGGAUCAAUUUAGUCAAGGUCACACAGCUAGGGAAAUAGAUCAGAUGAGAAGCAUUUUUUUUACCUAACAUUAUUUAAUGAGAAAGUAAAAACACAAAGAUAUUCCUAUUAUCUGAAACUUCACAUGCUGUUUUUACAGUGCUCAGGAUCAAACUGAGGACUUGUUCAUGCAAGGCAAAUCAUCUAUGUGGAGCUGCCCCCUGAGGCCUUGGCUCUUACAUUUUCCCAUUGCUAAGCUUCAACAACUGUUAAGCAAAUCUGACUGUUAUAAAGACUGACUUUGACAAGUCAAGAUAUGAUUUAAAAGCCAUGCAUCCUAAAGUCAUGAAGUUGUACUUAAGACAGUAAUAGUCCCAUAUUAAGCUAGUUGCAAAUCAAAAGAAUUACUAACCAGGUACUUUGGCAUUUACCUCUAAUCGCAGCACUUAGGAGGUUGAGGCAGGAAUAUUUCAAGUUAAAAGCCAGCCUGAGCAAUAUAGCCAGACCCCAUGUCAAAUAAACAGU
rnacentral:lncRNA from 1 species